CCUACGGGUGGCAGCAGUGGGGAAUAUUGGGCAAUGGGCGCAAGCCUGACCCAGCAACGCCGCGUGAAGGAAGAAGGCUUUCGGGUUGUAAACUUCUUUUCUGAGGGACGAAGAAAGUGACGGUAACUCAGGAAUAAGCCACGGCUAACAACGUGCCAGCAGCCGCGGUAAUACGUAGGUGUCACGCGUUAUCCGGAUGUAUUGGGUGUAAAGGGCGUGUAGGCGGGACAGCAAGGCAGAUGUGAAAACUCGUGGCUCAACCCUGAGACUGCAUUUGAAACUGUGUUUCUUGUGUGCUGGAGAGGGGAUCGGAAUUCCGUGUGGUGCGGUGGAAUGCGGAGAUAUACGGAGGGACACCAGUGGCGAAGGCGGAUUGCUGGACAGUAACUGACGCUGAGGCGCGAAAGCGUGGGGAGCAAACAGGAUUAGAUACCCCUGUAGUCC
rnacentral:rRNA from 1 species